rnacentral:lncRNA from 1 species
UCUGUGUGUCAUAGCGGAAGUCUGUUUACCGUAUAAGGAGCUGAUGUAAAGUUUUUUUGUAAUGAGUCACACCGAGGUUUCGUGUGUAUCAGGUCAUCUGAGGUCAAACACAUGAUUGAAAAUUCGAAAAGUACUUUUUCUGACUAUUUAAAUUAAAAAUAUAUUAUAGCCGAAUGAGAUCGGAAAAAAUACUUCUUGAAUUUCCAUUCAUAUUCUCCUUUGUAAAAUGUGCAAACGGUAAAAAA